GGACGAGAAGCUUGCUCCUCUGAUGUUAGCGGCGGACGGGUGAGUAACACGUGGAUAACCUACCUAUAAGACUGGGAUAACUUCGGGAAACCGGAGCUAAUACCGGAUAAUAUUUUGAACCGCAUGGUUCAAAAGUGAAUGACGGUCUUGCUGUCACUUAUAGAUGGAUCCGCGCUGCAUUAGCUAGUUGGUAAGGUAACGGCUUACCAAGGCAACGAUGCAUAGCCGACCUGAGAGGGUGAUCGGCCACACUGGAACUGAGACACGGUCCAGACUCCUACGGGAGGCAGCAGUAGGGAAUCUUCCGCAAUGGGCGAAAGCCUGACGGAGCAACGCCGCGUGAGUGAUGAAGGUCUUCGGAUCGUAAAACUCUGUUAUUAGGGAAGAACAUAUGUGUAAGUAACUGUGCACAUCUUGACGGUACCUAAUCAGAAAGCCACGGCUAACUACGUGCCAGCAGCCGCGGUAAUACGUAGGUGGCAAGCGUUAUCCGGAAUUAUUGGGCGUAAAGCGCGCGUAGGCGGUUUUUUAAGUCUGAUGUGAAAGCCCACGGCUCAACCGUGGAGGGUCAUUGGAAACUGGAAAACUUGAGUGCAGAAGAGGAAAGUGGAAUUCCAUGUGUAGCGGUGAAAUGCGCAGAGAUAUGGAGGAACACCAGUGGCGAAGGCGACUUUCUGGUCUGUAACUGACGCUGAUGUGCGAAAGCGUGGGGAUCAAACAGGAUUAGAUACCCUGGUAGUCCACGCCGUAAACGAUGAGUGCUAAGUGUUAGGGGGUUUCCGCCCCUUAGUGCUGCAGCUAACGCAUUAAGCAC
rnacentral:rRNA from 1 species